rnacentral:lncRNA from 1 species
GGGGCCCUGCCAUGUCACACCAAAGCGAAUCGCAUUGGUGCUUCUCAACGUAUCAUGAGAGGCUGGUAACAUUGCUCACCCGGAUACAAUGUUAUCUUUAUGCUAAAGUCUAUGAAUAUAUCCAUUAGAAUAUUGUUUUAGAAUUUAAAUAUGCUUUGAAAUAGAUGGUAUUAAUAAUAACUUUGUUAUUUCAGCAUUAUUAUCUGUGAUGUCCCAAUAUUAGAGCAAAUGAUGUCCGUUAAAACACAUUCAU